CACUGAUGUGAUGAUAUAUUUUUCGGAAAAUAUGAUGUCGACUAAAUAACAGACUACAAUUAUCUGAUCUCUG